UAGGGAAUAUUGGGCAAUGGAGGCAACUCUGACCCAGCCAUGCCGCGUGCAGGAUGACGGCCCUCUGGGUUGUAAACUGCUUUUAUACGGGAAGAAAAAAUACUACGUGUAGUACAUUGACGGUACCGUAAGAAUAAGGAUCGGCUAACUCCGUGCCAGCAGCCGCGGUAAUACGGAGGAUCCAAGCGUUGUCCGGAUUUAUUGGGUUUAAAGGGUGCGUAGGCGGAUCUUUAAGUCAGUGGUGAAAGCCUGCAGCUCAACUGUAGAACAGCCAUUGAAACUGAAGAUCUUGAAUAUGGUUAAAGUAGGCGGAAUGUAUCAUGUAGCGGUGAAAUGCUUAGAUAUGAUACAGAACACCGAUAGCGAAGGCAGCUUGCUGAACCAUUAUUGACGCUGAGGCACGAAAGCGUGGGGAGCAAACAGG
rnacentral:rRNA from 1 species